rnacentral:misc_RNA from 1 species
GAUGAAGAACGUAGCGAAAUGCGAUAAGUAAUGUGAAUUGCAGAAUUCAGUGAAUCAUCGAAUCUUUGAACGCACAUUGCGCCCCCUGGUAUUCCGGGGGGCAUGCCUGUUCGAGCGUCAUUUCACCACUCAAGCCUCGCUUGGUAUUGGGCAACGCGGUCCGCCGCGUGCCUCAAAUCGACCGGCUGGGUCUUCUGUCCCCUAAGCGUUGUGGAAACUAUUCGCUAAAGGGUGUUCGGGAGGCUACGCCGUAAAACAACCCCAUUUCUAAGGUUGACCUCGGAUCAGGUAGGGAUACCCGCUGAACUUAAGCAUAUCAAAAGGAGGA